rnacentral:lncRNA from 1 species
GAACUGCCAGUGUAUGGCCAGCAUUCCCAGUGGUUGAUAAUGUUGGAAAUGAGCUGCUUGACCUUCUCCAGCAUUCAGUUGUUAAAAAUGAAUAGAAUGCAAGUUCAGUUCCACAUUAUGAAAACAGUACUCGGAAAAUUGAAAACUAUCUAGAUGAUUGUCUUUGGUUGGGCUGUGUUCUUAGCAAGCAGAAGCCUUGGUCAGGGUCUGCUGCUGACUCUUGAGGAGCACAUAGCCCACCUAUUGGGGACUACAGGUGCCACUGCUACUAUGGGUAAUUCCUGCAUCUGCCGAGAUGACAGUGGAGCAGAAGACAAUGUUGACACCCACCAGCAACAGGCUGAGAACAGUACAGUCCCUACUGCUGAUAGUAGGAGCCAACCUCGGGACCCUGUCCGGCCUCCAAGGAGAGGCCGAGGACCUCAUGAGCCAAGGAGAAAGAAACAAAAUGUGGAUGGGUUAGUGCUGGACACACUGGCGGUAAUACGGACUCUUGUAGAUAAGUAAGUAUCUGACUUACUGUCGACUCCAGUGUCAUGGAAAGUGUUCUGCCAGGAACCACCGCUUUUGGACUCCUUCCACUCAGUUAGGAUAUAUUUUCCAAGCCUUGUGCUCAUAGGCCAAGAGAGAAUACUUAUUUCUUCUCUGAUAGUGGAUUAAAUAAGAUUUGAUAUUUUUACUUGCUAUCAUCUACUCCUGUCUGGAACAUUUUGGACAGUUCUGUACAGAAAACUUGGAUUUAAUUUUCUGACUGAAAAUAUGAUCUUUAUGAGGGAGUACAGUAACUAUGGAGUGAGUCUGUAUUAAUUACUUGCUUAAGUAGGAAAUAAGGAAGUGUUUUCUUGAAGAUUAAUUACUAUGUUUGCCUAUUUGUUCUGCUGACCAUAUAUUCAAGAUGAGUAGUCUUAUCAAGAGCAUGGCAUGCAACUUCUGUAGGCAAUUAAGGACAAUGGGCAACAAAAGUUUAACCUCUCCUAUUUUAUUAUUUCUUGUUUAGCCAGUUAGAUCCAUUUGGGGAAAUUGUAAGUUGAAACGACAGGGCACACCUGGGCCUGUGUUCUCUUUCUCCUGCUUUGUUUAAAACAAAAUCUCGGUUUGAAUGACAGUGAAAUUAAAGGGUUUUGCUCAGACUG